CCUACGGGAGUCAGCAGUGAGGCAUAUUGGUCAAUGGACGAGAGUCUGAACCAGCCAAGUAGCGUGAAGGAUGACUGCCCUAUGGGUUGUAAACUUCUUUUAUAUGGGAAUAAAAUGUUCCACGUGUGGGAUUUUGUAUGUACCAUAUGAAUAAGGAUCGGCUAACUCCGUGCCAGCAGCCACGGUAAUAGGGAGGCUCCGCGCGUUAUCCGGUUUUAUUGUGUUUAAAGUGAGCGUAGGUGGAUUGUUAAGUCAGUUGUGAAAGUUUUCGGCGUAACCGUAAAAUUGCAGUUGAAACUGGCAGUCUUGAGUACAGUAGAGGUGGGCGGAAUUCGUGGUGUAGCGGUGAAAUGCUUAGAUAUAACGAAGAACACCGAUUGCGAAGGCAGUUCACUGGACGGCAACUGACACUGAGGCUCGAAAGUGUGGGUAUCAAACAGGAUUAGAUACCCGAGUAGUC
rnacentral:rRNA from 1 species